rnacentral:rRNA from 1 species
CAGUCGCCACGGGAAUACGUAUGUCGCGAGCGUUAUCCGGAAUUAUUGGGCAUAAAGGGCAUCUAGGCGGCCGGAUAAGUCUGGGGUGAAAACUUGCGGCUCAACCGCAAGCCUGCCCUGGAAACUAUGCGGCUAGAGUACUGGAGAGGUGGACGGAACUGCACGAGUAGAGGUGAAAUUCGUAGAUAUGUGCAGGAAUGCCGAUGAUGGAGAUAGUUCACUGGACGGUAACUGACGCUGAAGUGCGAAAGCUAGGGGAGCAAACAGGAUUAGAGACCCCGGUAGUCCCUGUCUCUUAUAC